GUAGAGGGUCCCUGCAUCCUGAGGGGACGGCCCUCCACUUCACAGAGAAGGGCUUCCCAGCUCAGAGGGGCGUCAGCUGUGGAGCACAGUGGCAGACACGUGUGGUCGGUGUUCGGAGGAGGGAGGCCUGUGUACCGGGGGGCCGGGUUUUGUGCCAGGCUCGCCCACGCCGUGUCUUCGGCGCUGCCCCCGCUUUCUAGGAGAACCAGCCUUGGAGCAGCGAGGGCAGAAGCGUGUUCCUCGGGGCAGCUCCAGCACCUUCUAUGCGCCAUCGGUAGGUGGAAAGGCCGGGGACCUGGAGCUGAGAAGCCAGAGAACCGGUCUGCUUGUGGGAACCACACAUGGCUUGUGCCCUCGAUUCCCAAGCACUGUUGCAAGAGUAAAGGAGUUCUCGGACUCAGGGAUCAGAACCUGAUUCCUAUAGAGCUGCAAGAAUGAGUCAGACUACACAAACCCCAUCAGCAAUCUGUGUGGCUGGUCCCCGGCUGAGGUUCCCUGCAGCAGCACCACCACUUGGCCCCACGACCAGAGGUGAAGCAGGAGAGCCCCUGGUGGGCACUCCCCAGGCACAAGGACAGUCCCCAUCCCAGGAGCAGCUGGGUCCUUGAGGCCAGAGGCAUCGCCCCCUUCCCCCACUCAGAGGCCACCAGGGUCCGGAGAGCCACGGGCAUGCAGGCCACGCUGAAAACGGAGAAGGGCCCCAGGGUGGCCGCUGACAGGUGAGCGACGAGGCACUUGUAUACCCUGUACAGAAAUCCGAAGUCUUCAUUUCAAGAAUGGGGGGCGGCGGGGAGAGACUUCUGGACAAUCUGCGGGCACAGGGGCUUCCCCAGGUCACACGGCACUGCCUGUCUGUCCGGGGCAGGAGGCCGUGUAGAUCUGGGUUCCUGGGCCUGGUGCGGAGCCAGGGAGGCACCGGGCAGACGUCCCUCGGGGUCUUCUCCGUCAGGCUAGGCUGCCCCUCCACUUCUCUAAGCAACCAACUGGCUGAUUCUCCUGUCGGUGUUCACUCACUCACCGCCGCCCUGACCAAGGGACCACACGUCCAGGGGCUCCUCCUGGACCUCCGCAUCCUCGGGUGGAAGCUGUUCCGUCACAGGGUCACUCUGUCCGAUUCUUCGGUCAACACUCUUCAGCAUCUUCUGUGUUGCUGCGUCUGAGGCUCAAGAGGGUCCCAAGGGAUGGUUCUCUGGUUCGGCCCGACCACACCUUCACCCGACUGCCCUGUGCUCCCCGGGGAGCGGACGUCUGUUCUCUGGCCGCGGCUGCCCCGGCUUCUCAGGACACCUGCCGGCGGAUAGGGAGAGAAGCAGCAGCCCGACACCCUGGGGCCAAGGACACAGAAAGGUAAGACCCUCGUGUGGGAAGCGCGGUGUCCGUGAACGUGGAACAGCGGGAGCCGUUAGGAAGGAGCAUCUGCAUGUCUGUGUGGAACACGGUCCAGUCUGUGUGGAACACGGUCCAGUGCCCCGGGGAAGAAGAUGCUGUUUUCUCCAUUUUACAAAAGAGUAAACUGAGGCACAGGGUAGGUAACAGGUUCAAGGUCAAGUUACAAAGCCAGGA